rnacentral:lncRNA from 1 species
GUUUAGUAAUGACUAUAUAUUAUAUCACUUUCGGACACGCAAGAUAGAGAUGUAUAUUAUACACCUAAUAGUUCAAAAUGGAAAGUUAUAAGUUAUCGGCCGUGUACACUUAUCAAUACACUAAGAAGUGAAACGAUGCAUGAAUUUGCAAACUCGACAGGAAAUCGCUUGAAUACCUGGACGUGUCACCUCACACCCCCUACAAUACCUUUGGGAGUAAUACCUUUAGCCAUGCGGGUGAUCAGUGGAGCGAAGAUCCUAAUUUAUUUGAAUAAAGUUUAUUACAUAAAAGAAUUAUGAACUAAU